CACGUAGGAGGCAAACGUUAUCCGGAUUUACUGGGCGUAAAGCGCGUGUAGGUCGUUUUUUAAGUCUGAUGUGAAAGCCCUGGGCUCAACCCGGGAAGUGCAUUGGAAACUGGGAGACUUGAAUACGGGAGAGGGCAGUGGAAUUCCUGGUGUAGGAGUGAAAUCCGUAGAUAUCAGGAGGAACACCGGUGGCGAAGGCGGCUGCCUGGACCGAUAUUGACGCUGAGACGCGAAAGCGUGGGGAGCAAACAGG
rnacentral:rRNA from 1 species